rnacentral:rRNA from 1 species
AUUGAACGCUGGCGGAAUGCUUUACACAUGCAAGUCGAACGGCAGCACGGGGCAACCUGGUGGCGAGUGGCGAACGGGUGAGUAAUAUAUCGGAACGUGCCCAAUCGUGGGGGAUAACGUAGCGAAAGUUACGCUAAUACCGCAUACGAUCUACGGAUGAAAGCGGGGGAUCGCAAGACCUCGCGCGAAUGGAGCGGCCGAUAUCAGAUUAGGUAGUUGGUGGGGUAAAGGCUCACCAAGCCAACGAUUUGUAGCUGGUCUGAGAGGACGACCAGCCACACUGGAACUGAGACACGGUCCAGACUCCUACGGGAGGCAGCAGUGGGGAAUUUUGGACAAUGGGCGCAAGCCUGAUCCAGCCAUUCCGCGUGCAGGAUGAAGGCCUUCGGG